rnacentral:rRNA from 1 species
UGGCAUAUGCUCGUCUCUAAGAUUAAGCCAUGCAUGUCUGAGUUCAUACCUAGUAAACGUGAGACUGCGAAAGGCUCAGUACAUCAGUUAUAGUUUAUUCGAUUGUGAAAUCCACAUGGAUAACCGUGGAAAAUCUAGAGCUAAUACAUGCGAAAAAAGCCCUGGGUGAGCAAUCAUUUCAGGGUGAUGCAUUUAUUAGAUUAAGCCAGUCAACGAUGUGGUAUUUACGUAUUGCAUUGUUGUUGUGGUGAGUCUGGAUAACUGUGCCGAUCGUAUGGCCUUGAGCCGGCGACAUUUCGAUUAAAUUUCUGCCCUAUCAACUUGUUGGUAAGGUCGUUGCUUACCAAGGUGAUUACGGGUAACGGGGAAUCAGGGUUCGAUUCCGGAGAGGGAGCCUGAGAAACGGCUACCACAUCCAAGGACGGCAGCAGGCGCGCAAAUUACCCAAUCCAGACACUGGGAGGUGGUGACGAGAAAUACCAGGUCGUUCCCAAAAGGAUUCGACACUGGAAUGAGUGCAAUUUAAAAAUUUCAACGAGUAACAACUGGAGGGCAAGUCUGGUGCCAGCAGCCGCGGUAAUUCCAGCUCCAGUAGUGUAUUCAAACGUUGCUGCGGUUAAAACGCUCGUAGUUGGACAAGAGAGUAACUUGAUGCGGGCGGGGAGUGUAAUUACGCUAUGAGUUCACUUGUUGGGUGAUGCGUUUGCUGUUUUGCGAAAGUGAAGCAGUGGCGAGUAGCCUUUCAGGAUGAUGCAUAGUUGUAUCACUUGUCGACCAUGCUGCCAGGUUACUUGUAAUGUUUCGUGAGAAUGGUACAUGGUCUUUAUUGUACUGUGUGCUUUGUCUUACGUAGUGUGCCUUGAAUAAAUCAGAGUGCUCAAUGCAAGCAAUUGCUUGAAUGUUAAUAGCAUGGAACGAAUGUAUAGUGAAAGUGUGAUGGUGAUGGCAAUUCGUUGUCAUUGCUGUUACACAGCACCAACCGCGAAGCGGAGCAUUGGUUGCCGACUUCGGGUGAGGAUUAAGAGGGGCAUUUGGGGGCAUUAGUAUUUGGUCGCGAGAGGUGAAAUUCUUGGACCGGCCAAGGACUAACAAGUGCGAAAGCAUUUGCCAAGUAUGUUCCCUUUAAUCAAGAACGAAAGUGAGAGGUUCGAAGACGAUCAGAUACCGUCCUAGUUCUCACCGUAAACAAUGCCAACCCGGGAUCAGUUCGGAUGAUUUUGUUGGAUCCAGGUUGGUCCCCCUGGAAACCUUGAGUUUUUAGGUUCCGGGGGGAGUAUGGUUGCAAGGCUGAAACUUAAAGGAAUUGACGGAAGGGCACCACCAGGGGUGAGCUGCGCUUAAUUUGACUCAACACGGGAAAACUCACCUGGUCCGGACAUCGAUAGGAUUGACAGACUAAUAGAUCUUUCAUGAUACGGUGGGUGGUGGUGCAUGGCCGUUCUUAGUUCGUGGAGCGAUCUGUCAGGUUUAUUCCGGUAACGAACGAGACCACGUUCUUCAUUUGGGGAACCAGAGGACAGCUAUUGUGAGUUGUAGUGUUUUGAAUAAGUGGUGAGCAAUCAUUGCUUGUUUGACUGCUAUACUUGCGGUAGUUGCACCUAGGGUGUGCGUACAGCAAUGUGCGUCCCUAUGGAGAGACAGCCGGAUUGUAAGCCGGAGGAAGCGUGGCAAUAACAGGUCUGUGAUGCCCUUCGAUGUUCAGGGCCGCACGCGCGCUACAAUGAUAACGACAGCGAGAGUCUGGACUGAAAAGUUCUGGGUAAUCUUGUGAAUCGUUAUCGUGAUGGGGAUUGAGCAUUGUAAUUGUUGCUCAUGAAAUAGGAAUCCCUUGUAUACGUGUCUCACUUAAGACACGUAGAAUGCGUCUCUGCCCUUUGUA